rnacentral:rRNA from 1 species
CUACGGGCGGCUGCAGUGGGGAAUAUUGCACAAUGGGCGCAAGCCUGAUGCAGCCAUGCCGCGUGUGUGAAGAAGGCCUUCGGGUUGUAAAGCACUUUCAGCGGGGAGGAAGGCGGUGAGGUUAAUAACCUCAUCGAUUGACGUUACCCGCAGAAGAAGCACCGGCUAACUCCGUGCCAGCAGCCGCGGUAAUACGGAGGGUGCAAGCGUUAAUCGGAAUUACUGGGCGUAAAGCGCACGCAGGCGGUCUGUCAAGUCGGAUGUGAAAUCCCCGGGCUCAACCUGGGAAGUGCAUUCGAAACUGGCAGGCUAGAGUCUUGUAGAGGGGGGUAGAAUUCCAGGUGUAGCGGUGAAAUGCGUAGAGACCUGGAGGAAUACCGGUGGCGAAGGCGGCCCCCUGGACAAAGACUGACGCUCAGGUGCGAAAGCGUGGGGAGCAAACAGGAUUAGAUACCCGUGUAGUC